rnacentral:lncRNA from 1 species
UAUUAUUCCAGUAAAAUGAUUCCAGUAAAUAGCAGAAUCGUAAAUAGGGAACUAUACUAGCAAUUCAUUUCAUACAUUUCACAAAGUAUUUAGUUUGAGAUUCCCUUGCUUGACAAAUAGGAUAUAUAACUAUUUAACUGUAAUGAAUAGGUUCAAUUAAUAAUUACAGAAGCUUUACUUGAGAAUAUUAUGAAUAGAGCAAGACCAGAACUCCAGUGGAUUCUACAUUAACUUGCAAACACAAAUAUCAAGCUUUGCAUCAAUGCCAGAAUUUUUCUGAUAACUUUUUAACACUUUGGAUUGGUGUAAUUAAAAUAUUACAGAAACUUUCCUUGAGAGGAUUAUGGAUAGACCAAGAUCAGAACUCUAAUGGAUUCCAUCAAUUAGUAGAGUUGCCACCCUUGGUAACUUUUACUCGCUUGAUUUUGAUAUUACUAGUUCAUUAAUUAUGUAGGUCAAUUUAGUUCAUUUAUAAACAAAGCAUAUUCAGUUUUAACUUAUUUUAGAGUUUGAACAAUGCCAUAACUUCUUUGCUUCAUGUGCAAAGAAACUUGAAUAGAUAUCAAAUCAAAGACUGUUUAGAACACUGUAAAACUCACCCGGUCAAGACUGCGAUAAUAUUAACAUGUAGAACACAUGUUUGUAAGUUUGUAUGUGCCAUGUUAUUUAAUGAUAGUAUAAUAGUGAAAUUAUGGUCAUCCCCUGCUCCAGUUAUUCUCACUAGAAGAUUAAACUACACUAUUUUUUACAUUUUAUUUUUGAGUGUUGGAGGAAUCAUUUUGAAGAGGUGAAGCUUUACUUGAAUCAAAGCUGAAAUGCAUUGCAAUUUAAAUUAGAAAUUUAUACAUUUGAUUCUUUGGCAAAGAAGGGGUUACUUGUUUUUAGAAAAAAAUUUACACUCAACUUUACACAAGUCUAAAUAUGUAACUUGUUGAAUUUGUGGGUGAAUCGCAGGAAUAUCACGACAAUAUCGGUGAUCUUGAGGGGCCAGAAGAGAAGGAGAGGGCACAAGCAAAGGUCCAGAAAUUCAUCUCAGCCUUUUGAUUAUUGAUUGACUUGCAAUUAAAGGAUCUGAAAGAUGAGUACUAGUGUGGGACUAAAGUGGCACCCAGAUUUGGUGAUAAACUAUUGGUGCUAGUCUUUUUUCCUCCUCUAGGCUAUUUUCUACGUUGUUUUUGAUCAAAUACCGGGCUGGAUUGGCUUAUUAAAAGAGAUACUGACAUUCAUAUAUGAUUAUUAACAAUAUGAUAAAGGUGUUCCUCUCACCUUGAUGCUCAAACUGUGGACUAACGACAAUGAUGACUAAAUGUAAGUGGAAGGGGAUUGGGCAUGGUUGGAGAAUUAAAGGUAAUUUUUUAAUUGUAUCAAAUAGGAUUCUUUUGUACAAAAUUUGGGACGCUGGUUGUUAUUAUUUACUAAUUCUCUUUCUUUUUCCUUUUUAAUUUAAAACUGGGUAAACCGGUCGAUUUACAAUAACGGGGGGAAAUGGAUGACGAGGACGAUUUGCACAAUGUUUAAUAGAUUUGAGGGUUAAAAAUAUCAAAAUUGAAACAUUAAGGAUGAUUUGCACAAAAUG